rnacentral:rRNA from 1 species
CGCGUAGGCGGUCUGUUAAGUCCGAUGUCAAAUCCCGGGGCUCAACCCCGGAUCGGCGUUGGAUACUGGCAGGCUGGACGGCUGGAGAGGCGGAGUGGAAUUACCAGUGUAGCGGUGGAAUGCGUAGAUACUGGUAGGAACACCCAUUGCGAAGGCAGCUCGCUGGACAGCACGUGACGCUGAGGCGCGAAAGUGUGGGGAGCAAACC